AGAAAAGGUUCGCAGUGAGAAUUAAAGCAAGCCGUACCAACAACCAACACAGGUGGACUGGUAGAGUAUACCAAGGCGAGCGAGAGAAAGAAGCUUAAGGAAUUCGGCAAAAAAGCUGGACGUAAGUUCGCAAGAUGUCCUUCCCGCAGCAAUGCGGGACGCAGCUAACGACUGUCAACCGACUGUUUACCAAAAACACAGGUCCCUGCAAAGCCGCAAGGCAAAGUAUAGGGGCUGAAGCCUGCCCAGUGCUGGUAAGUCAACGGGCGGGGUGGUCGCCGCAAGGCGAUUGCUCCAAACUGAAGCUCCAGUAAACGGCAGCAGUAACUAUAACUGUUCUACGGUAGCGAAGUUCCUUGUCGGGUAAGUUCCGACCCGCACGAAAGGCGUAACGAGUUGACAACUGUCUUGAGCUUCUACUCGGUGAAAUUGCGGUGGCUGUGAAGACGCGGCCUACUUGCACCAGGACAAAAAGACCCCGUGGAGCUUUACUGUAGCUUGGCAUUGAUUUGAAGUUGUUGAUUGUCAAGAAUAGGAGGGAGCCGCAAGGCGACAAUGUGAUACCUCUCGUUGACGAUUUUAAAUCUUACCCAAAGGCCCUGAAUACGGGUCUGGGGAACAUGCUUAGCAGACAGUUUUACUGGGGCGGUAUCUUGCUAAAGAGCAACGCAAGAGUACAAAGGUCGGCUUAGCACGGAUGGACACCGUUGCUGUACGUAUAAGGGCACAAGCCGGCUUGACUGCGAGACCGACAGGUCAAGCAGACGCGAAAGCGGGUCCUAGUGAUCCUCGAUAGUUUCGUGGGAGACUACGAGCUUAACGGAUAAAAGCUACCCCGGGGAUAACAGAGUAGUCGCGCCCGAGAGUUCAUAUCGACGGCGCGGUUCGCUACCUCGAUGUCGGCUCACCGCAUCCUGGGGCUGGAGAAGGUCCCAAGGGUUGGUCUGUUCGCCCAUUAAAGCGGUACGCGAGCUGGGUUCAGAACGUCGUAAGACAGUUGGUCGCCUACAUUUGGCGACGACACUGAGCUGUCUCUUCUAAGCGUUUUGACCCUGUAUUUAGAACAAAUACGAAGAGGUUCUGUUAUUUCGAGCAAAGCAAUAGAGAGACUUUGCUUAUGGAAGAUUCUGAUUAACUUAAAUCAGAAGUAAAUCUGGCUAUAUGCUGGAAAAUCCGGGAAUUCGCUGGUACUUGCCUUUAUAGGCGAGUAACAAACCAAGCGAUGCGGAUAAUCAGCAGGAAAGGCCACAUUCAAUUUAGAAUGUGGAAUCCUCACAGGCCAUACGCCAGACUCGCCUUAUGCGAGAAGAUAUGGUCGGACCCCAUUGGCGACAAUGGGAGCUAGUAAUCAAUCUAGCCUUGUAACAACAAUGUCGGACUCUAUCCGGUGCAAGCGAAGGAUUCUUGAGGGAAGUUGGCCACAGUACGAGAGGACCUGGCUGAAGAAAUCCCUAGUGUACCAGUUGUCCCGUCCGGGGCAUCGCUGGGUAGCUACAUUUCUAAGGGAUAACCGCUGAAAGCAUCUAAGCGGGAAGCC
rnacentral:rRNA from 1 species